AUGCUAACUUUGAGAGGGUUUCGUGGGUUUUUAGUGAGGGGGAGAGAGAGAGAGAGAGGCAACUUAACUUUAUAAAGCUUGUUACUGUCUAAAAAGAAAAGAAAGGAAAAGAAAAAAGCCUAUCUUUUUCCCUCUCUCCUUUUCUCAAUCUUUUUUAACAUUCUUUUUACUUUUUGUUGCAGUACUAAUUUCUAUAUGGGUUUUGGUGUCACUAUUACUACCCUUCAAAGUCUGCAACUUCUAUUUUGAUACAAGAAAAACAAAAAAAAACCAUGAAGGGUGAGUCUAAAGAUCCAGCUUUCAAGCUCUUUGGUAGGAAGAUUCCUGUACCUGAUACUCAGUUUCCGGCCGAACCACUAGCCAAGGGAAGCUGCAGUGAGAUAGCAAGAGUAGAAACCAAGGGUCCUAGUGAAGACAGCUCAGAAGAACCUGAAAUGUUCUCUGGUUCUGGACAAGGCAAGGAAGAAAGCCAAGCUGCAAUGCGAGUGAAUGAGGCACAAGUAAUUGCUAAGCCUAAGGAAGGUCCACUGGAGACUAAUGGCACAGACCAAGAGAAAGUCCUUAAGAAGCCAGAUAAAAUUCUACCAUGUCCACGAUGCAACAGUUUAGACACAAAAUUCUGUUACUUCAAUAACUAUAAUGUCAACCAACCAAGGCAUUUCUGCAAGAAUUGCCAAAGAUAUUGGACAGCUGGGGGAUCAAUGAGAAAUGUCCCUAUUGGUGCUGGCCGACGGAAGAAUAAGCACUUGGCUACUCAAUAUCGUCAGAUAUUAGUAUCUUCUGAUGGGAUGCCUAUUGCCAGAAUGGAAAACUCAGACUCAAUCAGUCACCAACUUCAAUCUUCUGUUGAAUCUGGAACCAUCUUGAGUCCCUCAGUAGCAAAUGGAAUGGUUCUAAAAUUCGGUCAUGAAGCACCUCUUUGUGAUUCCAUGGAGAAUGUGCUGAAUCUUGGAGACCAAAAACGAUAUGUUGAGAUAAGUUCAGUCAAUCAUCAAGAUAAUGUAGAAGAGCCGUCUUCAUGUGGAUCCUCCAAGACAGCUUCCAAUGCUUGGGCAAAUGAAUUGCGAGAAAAUGUUAUGCAGAAAGAGCAAGUUGAUGUGCCAGUAUCUUCUAACGAACUCAGCUCACCAAAUUCCUUGCCUUGUUAUUCUGUCCCUUCAUGGGUUUUUCCUUGGAACCCGGGUUGGAAUAAUGUUGCUUCCAUGACCGCAGCUCAGCACUCCACUGGCCAGGCUUGCGUGACAAAUACUCCCAAUCAAGUUCAAUUGUGCCCCACACCAAUGUUGGCUGUUCCCAGCAUUUGCCCUCCAAACAUUCCUUUACAAUUUGUACCUGCUUCUUAUUGGGGUUGCAUGCCCUCAUGGACUGCUGGAACAAGAAAUGUAUCAUUGAGUGGAUCGAAUGGCUGCCUUUCUCUAUCAACCUCUACUAACACAAGUUGCUGCUCAGGAAAUGGCUCACCAACCCUAGGCAAGCAUUCCAGAGAUUCAAAAUUUAUGGAAGAAGAGAAGGCAGAAAAAUGUAUAUUGGUCCCAAAAACACUAAGAAUUGAUGACCCAAGUGAGGCUUCAAAGAGUCCUUUAUGGGCUGCAUUAGGUCUUAAGCCUGAUCAGAAGGAUCCCGCAUCAAAAGGUACUAUCUUCAAGAAUUUUGAAACCAAAGCAGAAUGCUAUCGCCAUGUAUCUGAUAUCACUCAUGUAAUGGAAGCAAACCCAGCAGCUCUUUCUCGCUCUCAUACAUUCCAGGAGAGUGGCUAAAGGACACCUGCUGAGAUUUUCCAUUGUGAACCUCACUUGCGUCCGUGAUCUUCUCUAGGCAUAACCAUGCGGAUGUGUUUUCUGUGGAGAGUAUACCACAUUGAUUUUCCUUCAUAGAGCAUGAGAUUUCUGCUCAGCUAAUUCUGAUUGAAGUCUGAAAGGCAAGUUCUUCAGAAUCAAUUGCUACAUAAUCAGCGGUGCUGUCAACACAUCUCUUCAAGUCGUCAUUGUAAAUAACAGAGGUUGUUUAAUGCGUGGUGGUUAUGGUCCACGGCCUAUUUUAGGUUCCAACUAAUACACUGAUACCUAUCUUACUGCUUGGAUUCUGCAGAAAAAUAAGAUGAAGCUCUGGCUUGUAUGUAGAAAUUAAAGCCAUCAUCCAUUGGAAGGCUAACCGAAGUUUUCUGAAGUCCAGUAUCUUUUCUCAAAUGCUGUAAUUUGUGUUCUCGUUUGCUAUAUCUCAACCAUGUCGGCUGGAAUAGUAAAUCUCUUCUAGAGUUGUACUAUUUUGCACUUGUUUACUGAAUCUUUUUGUGCCCGAGCUUGUAAAGUUGAGUAAUUUAGGUCAUACCUAGGUUCUGAGUAAAUUUCACCUGAAGUUCUUGUAGCUUGGUAGGGGCUGCAAGAAUGAUCAAAAGUGUACUAUAGUAUUAUGAGUCAUAAUUUGGAGAGAGAAAUCAAAGAUUAUUCAAUCCUUCAAAAUGUAUACUUCUAUCUGUUGUGGAAGCUUAACAGGCAUUUCGGAUCAUUUUAUGUACUUUUCAAGAAUAUCCCAGGUUGACACUCCAGACGUGAUGCAGGUUAAGAUUGCCAUGGUGGAGAUGUCACAUUUAAGGGGGAGAAUCAGGAAGCAAACAACGCACAUUUGCUGCUCAUGUUUGGAUACACGACAUGUUGUAACGCCUGCUGGUACCACUGGAACUUUUAAUAAAGUCUUGCAAUAUUUCGAGGUUCACAGAAAUUGAUUUGCACUUUACAGUUCAUAUCUCCCACUAGAGACAAUUUUACUUGAUAUUAUAUAUUUUGUCACAGCUUUCAAGGCCAUCCUCAAUCAAAAGAAUUUUCCUUCCUUGUUGAUUUACAAAGAAACUAGCCUAAAACAUCUGCCCUAGGCAAGUCAAUUUUGUCUAUGGAUUCAAGUAAUCAAAUGCAUUUCCUUGUGCCAGUCAGUACUUCCAACAGGGGAGAACCUUUUAAAACAUGGAACGAUUCACCACUCUUAAGGAACAUGUGCCUUGUGAGUCAUCUCCUUGGAAAGAAUGGUUUCAGCAAUUUCCUAGAUAAAGCCGUAAAGUCAUUCUUAUCAUCAUUAAACAGAUUAAAGCAGAUUCCAACUCUUGCUUUUAAACCCUUCAGAAAUAUUGUCAGGGGAAGGGUUUUUGUGUCCUUUAUGACCUUUCCAGCAUGUUUAUCAGUUUAACUUUCAUAAUCAAACGCCCUUUAGCACAA